ensembl:lncRNA
CUUCAAAACAUGCUCAAAUCCAGGAAAAAAAAAUACACUGGUAUCCCUGGUCUCUGCUCUCUUCCUCACAAAGUCUCUUCUCAGGUGUCCGUCGCUCCUGGCUGGCGGACUACCUGGGCGACGUGUGGUUUCACUUCUCGGAGAGCUUCCCCAUCGCCGUCCUGUACAUCUUCCCCGUCACCGUGCUGAUCCUGCUCUUCCUCUGCUGCUUCACAUGAUUUUAAAGAUUCUCCCGGACGGAAUCUGCCACCCCCAAAUGAAGUUCAGACUUCACCUGAGGCUCUGCUGUCUGAGUUAUGGCCAGAACGCAAGAGGUUCACUGGGGUUCGUAGAAUCGUUAGGGUUGGAAAAGACCCCUCAGAUCCCCAAGUCCAACCCCAG